rnacentral:lncRNA from 1 species
UGGUUUACUCGUGUCGUCAUUCGUCGUGGGCACCUUGUCCCCGGGGCCGGCCAGUUACUUGGCCUCCUGGCUCAUCAUCCUGCCGGAAGCAUCUCCAGCUUGGGGAUGUUGGAGGGUCCCUGGCCCCACCUGGCUGGGGAUGGAGUGUCUUCCAAAACCGCGAGAAAUAAAUGUCUGUGUCUAAACCCCAACCCUACCACCUCAACUGCCGUGUGUGGUGUUUUGUGAUGGCAGCCCCAGCUGACUGAGACACCUGGUUAGACCGGAAUAAGCAGUACCUGAGUCCCUUAAGAGUGGCCAAAGAAGAAAGAAUCCACUGAGUUGACAUUCCAGUUCAGCUGCAAUCGGUAGCAGUCACCAUUGAACAUCCUUGAAGCAAUUCUUCCAAAAUUACCUUGCAUCAAAGACUGCACAAGAACUGCUCUAAGCGGAAGGACUGAUGUCGGCAACCAGGGUUCCACCAGGGGCUGCAGACAGCCCUUGACCUUCAGGGCUAGUGUGAGCAUCCCUGUGCAAUGGCUUAUUGGGAAAUUGAUGUGCAUUGCACCGGAAGCAAUCUCCUCAUCUUCCUGCUUACUCAUCAGACUGAAAAAGGCAACACAGACUACCAUUCAUUGUGUGGCUACAAGGCACUAUGCAUUUUCAUACAAUAUAUCUAAAGCCCAUAAUACUCACCAAAAUAAACCAUUGCUGCCACAAUUUAA